AACGAACGCUGGCGGCAUGCCUAACACAUGCAAGUCGAACGAACCCUUCGGGGUGAGUGGCGCACGGGUGAGUAACGCGUGGGAAUUUACCUAUCGGUACGGAAUAACCUCGGGAAACUGUGGCUAAUACCGUAUACGUCCUUCGGGAGAAAGAUUUAUCGCCGAUAGAUGAGCCCGCGUUGGAUUAGGUUGUUGGUGGGGUAAUGGCCCACCAAGCCUUCGAUCCAUAGCUGGUCUGAGAGGAUGAUCAGCCACACUGGGACUGAGACACGGCCCAG
rnacentral:rRNA from 1 species